rnacentral:lncRNA from 1 species
CAUUGUAGCAUAACAUGGACUGGCUUUCAUAUCAUCCAACAGCAGUUGAUGUAUUUUUGAACUUAAUAUUUCCAACAACUCAUGAACUGUAUCCCCGCUUGAAUAAGUAGCAUUUUUAGCUAAACGAAGUUUAGAUAAAUAUGUUGCUCCAACAUCAAUGCAGAGAUCAACUGUUGAUCCAAAUAAGUCAAGUGAAGUGAUGGCGCAGAAUAAAAAAAUAGAACUUUUAGAUCAUCCUUCACUGCAUUUUGUGCACCAGAAGAUAUAUAAGAAACCAUGUCAUCAAUGGUGUGUGCCAUAUCUAAAGUUAUUGCAUAUUUAUGUUGUUCACUGUCUUGAUGGAUUUGUAUCUUAUCUUUGCGCAACAUUUUAUAACCUAGAGUAGACCAUGUCUGACUACCAUUACUUCCGUGUGAUUGAUGCUUGUUACAAAGUUUGCAAAGCAUGACAUCAACUAAUGUUCCAUCCGCACUAAAG